GUAGGGUGCGGGCGUUAAUCGGAAUUACUGGGCGUAAAGCGAGCGCAGACGGUUAAAUAAGUCAGCUGUGAAAGCCCUCGGCUCAACCGGGGAACGGCAACUGAAACUAUUUUUCUUGAGUGCAGAAGAGGAGAGUGGAACUCCAUGUGUAGCGGUGGAAUGCGUAGAUAUAUGGAAGAACACCAGAGGCGAAGGCGGCUCUCUGGUCUGUAACUGACGCUGAGGUUCGAAAGCAUGGGUAGCGAACAGGAUUAGAUACCCUGGUAGUCCAUGCCGUAAACGAUGAGUGCUAAGUGUUGGGAGGUUUCCGCCUCUCAGUGCUGCAGCUAACGCAUUAAGCACUCCGCCUGGGGAGUACGACCGCAAGGUUA
rnacentral:rRNA from 1 species